rnacentral:rRNA from 1 species
GAUGAACGCUGGCGGCGUGCCUAAUACAUGCAAGUCGAGCGAACAGACGAGGAGCUUGCUCCUCUGACGUUAGCGGCGGACGGGUGAGUAACACGUGGAUAACCUACCUAUAAGACUGGGAUAACUUCGGGAAACCGGAGCUAAUACCGGAUAAUAUAUUGAACCGCAUGGUUCAAUAGUGAAAGACGGUUUUGCUGUCACUUAUAGAUGGAUCCGCGCCGCAUUAGCUAGUUGGUAAGGUAACGUCUUACCAAGGCGACGAUGCGUAGCCGACCUGAGAGGGUGAUCGGCCACACUGGAACUGAGACACGGUCCAGACUCCUACGGGAGGCAGCAGUAGGGAAUCUUCCGCAAUGGGCGAAAGCUUGACGGAGCAACGCCGCGUGAGUGAUGAAGGUCUUCGGAUCGUAAAACUCUGUUAUUAGGGAAGAACAAAUGUGUAAGUAACUAUGCACGUCUUGACGGUACCUAAUCAGAAAGCCACGGCUAACUACGUG